UACGGAGGGUGCAAGCGUUAUCCGGAUUCACUGGGUUAAAGGGUGCGUAGGCGGCGCGGUAAGUCGGGUGUGAAAUCUCGGGGCUUAACUCCGAAACUGCAUUCGAUACUACCGUGCUUGAGGACUGGAGAGGAGACUGGAAUUUACGGUGUAGCGGUGAAAUGCGUAGAUAUCGUAAGGAAGACCAGUGGCGAAGGCGGGUCUCUGGACAGUUCCUGACGCUGAGGCACGAAGGCCAGGGGAGCAAACGGG
rnacentral:rRNA from 1 species